rnacentral:lncRNA from 1 species
UCAGCUCUUCAUCACAAUCAUCUCUCCUUAUCUCUUGUUAAAGCUAGAUAUCUACUUGGAGGCUGCUGGGGAGUGUUCCAGAGAGACAUGAGAUGCACCCUACCUUCCCCUGAGCCCAAAAGAAUCCAGGUCUUAGCAACAGCUCAUCGUGGCACCAUGCUAUGUCAGAACUGCUGCAGACUUGAAAGGCUUUUCAAUGCAUUUUAUUAUGUGCUUAACAUGAACAGACAUGUUCCCUCUCCCAUCUGCAAGAAAGAGGCCGCUACUUCAAAACCUUUCUCGGCUAAUACACCAGAGCAGCCCGGUGGACUAGAUGUUCUGAACUAGUGUAACUCACUGAGGAGCAAGAAUCAUCACCACAGGGGUAUAACAGUCUCACUAGGCUGCAGUAUCUCCAUUUAUUUUUAGACUUCUGCACCACAGCUGGAGCUGACUACUCCAGGAAUCGUAAUUUCUGCCUUUGGAAAGUAGAAAGAGCUGUGUUCACAACUUAUCCUCAGAAAGGUAUUAAUAAUGAAAAAUAGGGCAAUGUAUAAAAUAUAUUAUUUAAGGAUAGUUUUAAAGAUGGCCUGUGUAGCAGUAGUUAACAUUCAGUGGAGUAAAAACUAUGACAAAUUCCACUAAUAAGAUGUUAGGUAUUCAGGAGGUCAUACAAGCCAUCUCUAAGCUACUACUUGUAAAGGUGGCCUAAACAAAAGCAAAACAAAGUGUAGACACACCGUUUUUAUUUCUUUCUACUGGAUUAAGUAGCUCGAUAUAUAUAGAUAUAUAUAAAGAUUGUAUUCUACAUGCUUUUUACAUUUUAAAUAUUAGGUUGUCACUUCCUUGCAUGUGCUGGAAGACAGGCAAACUAGCGGGACAUACUGAGGGACUAAAACUUGAGCAAGUAUGAGCAAAACUUGCUUUUGUAAAUAACUAUUUAGCUCUAACUUCUGAAAAACAUUUGAGAGAAAAGCUUUCUCUGUGCAAUAAAGGGCUGAGGAACCUAUCA